rnacentral:misc_RNA from 1 species
UCAAACUUGGUCAUUUAGAGGAAGUAAAAGUCGUAACAAGGUUUCCGUAGGUGAACCUGCGGAAGGAUCAUCAGAGUGAUCUGUGUGUGGGGGGACUGUUUAUGCAGUGCCCACCACCACACCAAUCUUGUGUGAACUGUUGUUUUGUGGUGUGUGUUGGUGUGUGAUGAUGUGUGUGAUGCACACACUCCCACCAACAUUACAAACUCUUAAUCUUUGUCUAAACAUAUGUACCCACAAUUCAAAACAACUUUUAACAAUGGAUCUCUUGGCUCUCGCAUCGAUGAAGAACGCAGC